rnacentral:rRNA from 1 species
CCUACGUGUGGCAGCAGUGGGGAAUAUUGGACAAUGGGCGAAAGCCUGAUCCAGCCAUGCCGCGUGUGUGAAGAAGGCCUUCGGGUUGUAAAGCACUUUCAGUGGGGAAGAAAGCCUUGGGGCUAAUACCCUCGAGGAAGGACAUCACCCACAGAAGAAGCACCGGCUAACUCCGUGCCAGCAGCCGCGGUAAUACGGAGGGUGCGAGCGUUAAUCGGAAUUACUGGGCGUAAAGCGCGCGUAGGCGGUCUGAUAAGCCGGUUGGGAAAGCCCCGGGCUCAACCUGGGAACGGCAUCCGGAACUGUCAGGCUAGAGUGCAGGAGAGGAAGGUAGAAUUCCCGGUGUAGCGGUGAAAUGCGUAGAGAUCGGGAGGAAUACCAGUGGCGAAGGCGGCCUUCUGGACUGACACUGACGCUGAGGUGCGAAAGCGUGGGUAGCAAACAGGAUUAGAUACCCGGGUAGUC